rnacentral:lncRNA from 1 species
UGCCCCUUUGAACUCUUGACUCCAAGCUCCUUGAGAAAGAAGCAUAUUGCUGGGAAUGAAAGAUCUCUAAUGAGACCAAAUGGCAGAACAAGAUUUCUCACCUCUAUAGCUCUGAGCUGGAGGGACCACCAAGUAUUUCCAGACAAGGAGGAACUGUCACCUCACAUUGCUUGUGAAUCACUGCACAUCUGGUCCUCCUGCCCUGGGACAAGAACUGCAGCAGGAAAAGUCAAUGAGGACUACAUGAAGCCAAAGAUCUCAAAUGAAUGCCUCCCUUUGGCCGACCUAAUAGAACACUGCUGGCCAACGAGUCUGUUAAACACUAUUUCUGAGAGUCUUACUAUGAGGUACAAGGAAGUGUAUAAGAUAUUUCUAAGCAACAACAAUCAAUACCUGGCAUGAUAUCUGAGUUUAAAAUGAAUAUCACACCUUUUUUCUUUAAUGUACUUUGCUAGUGCUCUUGAAGAUGGACAAUAAGAGUAAGCACUUACUAUGUUGUUAACUAAUAAGAACUAUUCCUCUUAAACCAGUUCUUUCUUAUAUUUACACAUUAUAAGCUGUAAUUUUAGUGUGUUUUUUUUUUCAUCAAAUACCAAGUAGACGGUGAGAUUAUCAAAUCACUCUUUUGUUCACAGGUGUGUGUGUGUAUGUGAGUGUGCAGCCUAUUUGAUCGUCAACCUGACAUUCAAAUACUUGCAAAAUGCCACCUACAUUUUUCUAUAUUGCCAAUAAGUAUUGAAAGGUAGUACCUGAAAGUUGAUAUGGCUAUAGAAAAAGGCCUGGGAACUUCAACACUGUUGAAAAUCUCCAAGAAAUGGUUUCAUUUACAUAGGACAAAAAAUCUUGCCAUGUAACCUAUAUCAAAACAAAUAAUGUGGAUGGAAAUAAAAGUAAGACAUUAUUAAAUUUCA